rnacentral:rRNA from 1 species
AGAGUUUGAUCAUGGCUCAGGAUGAACGCUAGCGGCAGGCCUAAUACAUGCAAGUCGAACGCUCAGUAGCAAUACUGGGAGUGGCGCACGGGUGCGUAACGCGUACACAAUCUACCUCUAAGCGGGGGACACCUCCUGGAAACGGGGAUUAAUACCGCAUAAUAUGCCGAGGUCGCAUGACUUUGGUAUUAAAGCAGCAAUGCACUUAGAGAUGAGUGUGCGUCCCAUUAGGUAGUUGGUGAGGUAACGGCUCACCAAGCCUAUGAUGGUAGCCGGUCUGAGAGGAUGGUCGGCCACACGGGCACUGAGACACGGGCCCGACUCCUACGGGAGGCAGCAGUAAGGAAUACUUGGUCAAUGGUGGAACACUGAACCAGCCAUGCCGCGUGGAGGAAUAAGGUCCCUACGGAUUGUAAACUCCUUUGACCGAGGAAGAAAGUGUUAGAUUUAUCUAAUUUUGACGGUACUCGUAGAAUAAGCACCGGCUAACUCCGUG